UACGUAGGGGGCAAGCGUUGUCCGGAAUCAUUGGGCGUAAAGAGCGUGUAGGCGGCCCGAUAAGUCCGCCGUGAAAGUCCAGGGCUCAACCCUGGAAUGCCGGUGGAAACUGUCGGGCUGGAGUCCGGAAGAGGCGAGUGGAAUUCCUGGUGUAGCGGUGAAAUGCGCAGAUAUCAGGAGGAACACCAAUGGCGAAGGCGGCUCUCUGGGACGGUACUGACGCUGAGACGCGAAAGCGUGGGGAGCGAACAGG
rnacentral:rRNA from 1 species